CAGCAGCCGCGGUAAUACCGGCGGCCCGAGUGGCGGCCACUAUUAUUGGGCCUAAAGCGUCCGUAGCCGGGCUGGUAAGUCCCCCGGGAAAUCUGGCGGCUUAACCGUCAGAAUUCCGGGGGAUACUGCCAGCCUAGGGACCGGGAGAGGCCGGGGGAAUUCCCGGGGUAGGGGUGAAAUCCUAUAAUCCCGGGAGGACCACCUGUGGCGAAGGCGCCCGGCUGGAACGGGCCCGACGGUGAGGGACGAAGGCCAGGGGAGCGAACCGGAUUAGAUACCCGGGUAGUCCUGGCGGUAAACGAUGCGGGCUAGGUGUCGGGCCAGCCACGAGCUGGCCCGGUGCCGGAGGGAAGCCGUUAAGCCCGCCGCCUGGGGAGUACGGCCGCAAGGCUGAAACUUAAAGGAAUUGGCGGG
rnacentral:rRNA from 1 species